rnacentral:sRNA from 1 species
GAUCAGCCUGAGCCACGGCCGCGUCGUCUACAGCCCCGGGGAGCCGUUGGCUGGGACCGUGCGCGUGCGCCUGGGGGCCCCGCUGCCGUUCCGAGCCAUCCGGGUGACCUGCACAGGUUCCUGCGGGGUCUCCAACAAGGCUAAUGACACAGCGUGGGUAGUGGAGGAGGGUUACUUCAACAGUUCCCUGUCGCUGGCAGACAAGGCCACCGCACCCACGUCCUUUGAGGGUCCUUUCGGGAAGAUCGUGCACCAGGUGAGGGCCGCCAUCCACACGCCACGGUUUUCCAAGGAUCACAAGUGCAGCCUCGUGUUCUAUAUCUUGAGCCCCUUGAACCUGAACAGCAUCCCAGACAUUGAGCAACCCAACGUGGCCUCUGCCACCAAGAAGUUCUCCUACAAGCUGGUGAAGACGGGCAGCGUGGUCCUCACAGCCAGCACUGAUCUCCGCGGCUAUGUGGUGGGGCAGGCACUGCAGCUGCAUGCCGACAUUGAGAACCAGUCAGGCAAGGACACCAGCCCUGUCGUGGCCAGUCUGCUGCAGAAAGUGUCCUAUAAGGCCAAGCGCUGGAUCCACGACGUACGGACCAUUGCGGAGGUGGAGGGUGCGGG